rnacentral:RNase_P_RNA from 1 species
CAAUCGAAUCGGGUAGUCGCUCUAACCUUUGUGUUGGGGAGGAAAGUCCGAACAUCAAAGAUCAGAAUUUUCUGAGAAAUCAGAAACUGCACUACGCAGAUGGAAAGUGUAACAGAAAGAAUACCAUCCCGAUUUAUCGGGAUAAGGGUGAAAUGGUGAGGUAAGAGCUCACCACUUCGUUCCGAUUGGAAUACCAUAUUUUGGUACUCAUAUGCGAAGGUAUGACAAACCCAAUUCGAUGCAAAACCAAGUAAAGAAGGAUUUCGUGCAGCGAAAGCGUAAUGAUCUUUUACGCGUUCCUUAGGGAACAUACUUCAGGGUAGGUUGCUUAAGUUAACCGGUAACGGUUAAUUAAGAUAAAUGACUACCACCCGAUUGACCGGGGACAGAAUUCGGCUUAUCGGUUCGUUUGGAUC